UACAGAGGUCUCAAGCGUUGUUCGGAUUCAUUGGGCAUAAAGGGUGCGUAGGUGGCGCCGUAAGUCAGGUGUGAAAUCUCGGGGCUUAACUCCGAAACUGCAUUUGAUACUGCGGUGCUUGAGGACUGGAGAGGAGACUGGAAUUUACGGUGUAGCAGUGAAAUGCGUAGAGAUCGUAAGGAAGACCAGUGGCGAAGGCGGGUCUCUGGACAGUUCCUGACACUGAGGCACGAAGGCCAGGGGAGCAAACGGG
rnacentral:rRNA from 1 species